UUCUGGUAAGCGUCGUUUCAGUUCCACUCCCUCCCCUCCUCUGGGCUCUGGCCUUCUCUCGCCGAUUCUCCCUCCCUUCCUCUACCCCUCUCUCCCUCUUCUCUAUAGACGUAGCGUGGAAGUUCUCUUCUCUGCAGUAAAUGGAGAUGGCAAUGGAGGAUUCUCACUUGAGCGUCGCUUUCCAUUCGGUUCGGAGGGUGUUUUCUGGGGAUCAGCGGUCCCGACGGUUUCCGGGAAAAUGUAUACCCAGUCCGAUACGAAGUUGUAAAUUUAGGGUUUGAAGGUCUUUUCAUAUUCUUUGUCAUCUUUCAUAUGCUUUGUAUUUCGUUUUUGCACUUGAAUUUCAAAGAAUCGAAGUUGGGGUGUCUAGGGUUUAUUUGAAUUUCUUGUUAAAUUUCUUGCUUUGGAAAGUCAAAUCCAGGGAAAUGUUGGUGAUUUGGAGUUUGUAUGGUGAAUUGAACUGAAGAUUUGACUCUCAGGACUUCUCUAAGGUUCUCGUGAGAUUUGAGGUUCUUUGGGUAACAUAUGAAGGAUAAUUCAAUGCUUUUGCUGCUCAUGAUGUUCAUGUGUGGGUUUCCUGGAAUUUUCUUGUGAAAUUUGAGCGUUCUUGGGUUUUCAACGUUCUUUGAAAGUUAUUUGUGUUUGAAUUUGUAAUUGAAAUUGGGGCGCGAAAUUUGAAUGGCGGGGAAAAGAGAAUUAGGGUUUCUGAAGCCAAGUGUUUGUAGUUUAAGAGAGCAAGCAGCAAGAACUACUCUUCAGAAUGUUAGAAUGCAAGGGCACACGUAUGUUGAGCUCCGUGAAGAUGGGAAGCGGUUUGUUUUUUUCUGCACGCUCUGUCUCGCACCGUGUUAUAGCGAUUCUGUGCUGUUUGAUCAUUUGAAGGGUAAUCUUCACAGUGAAAGGUACGCUGCUGCUAAGGUUACUCUCUUAGGAGCAAAUCCGUGGCCAUUUAAUGAUGGUGUUCAUUUCUUUAACAAUUCAAGUGAGAACGAGACUCAGUUGGCUAUUUCAAAUGAUCAGAUCAAGUUGUUAGAGAGUGGACACAAUGAUAAUAGCCUUGCUAUUGUUAGUCAUAAUGGAAAUGUGAAACCAAGUCUGAAUCAAGAUGGUAGGUGCUAUGGAUAUGCUUGUAAAAAUAAUUUAGACUAUGAGGAGGAUCUUUCUGGUUGUGUUAUGGAAAAUGGAGGCGAUUCUGAUGUACUGAUUCCUGGUGUUUUGUUUAGGGAUGAAAUUUCUGAUUUGGGAGCAAGGUUUGUUGGUUUUGGGCAAAUUAGUGCAAAGCUCUGUGAGAAGGAUGGGAUUUUAAAGGGGAUGAGUAGAAUAUGGUGUGAAUGGUUGGGUAAAAAGGAUCUUGCUGAUCAGGAUUUGUUCAUAAUUCCAGAGCAUGAAUACGCUGUUGUUAUUUUUAGUUAUAGUUAUGAUUUAGGCAGAAAGAGUUUGUUUGAUGAUGUAAAGUUCUUGCUGCCAUCCAAUUCUCCAACAGAAAUUGAGAGUGAUGAGCUACCUAGGAAGAAGAGGAAAUCGUUUUCUGACCCAGAGGAUAUUAGCAAGUCUUUAAGUAACCAGUAUGAUUCAUCUGGGGAAGAUUCCUUGUCUGCUAAUAGUUCCCCACGAUUGCUGCUAGAUCAAUAUGAUGAUCAGCUCCUCCUGCAUAAAAGAUCUACAUCAAGCAAGGCCUUAAGAAGAGAAUUAAGACGGCAACAGCGUGUAGCUGCUGAAAGAAUGUGUGAUAUAUGUCAGCACAAGAUGCUUCCAGGGAAAGAUGUGGCAACUCUCCUGAACAUGAAGACAGAAAGAUUUGCUUGCAGUAGUAGAAACGUCAGUGGGGCAUUUCAUGUAUUUCAUACCUCCUGCCUCAUACACUGGAUUCUUUUUUGUGAGUCUGAGAUGUUUAGAUAUCAGUUAGUUCAACCCAAAGCAAGGCGAAGAUCUAGGAGAAAGAAUGAAGCCAAAUGCAAAGAUAUGGGAAAGAAUAGUGAGACAAAAGCUACAGAAGUGCAAAUUUGUUCUGUGUUCUGUCCAGAGUGCCAAGGCACUGGUUUAAGCAUUGAUGGAGAUGAUAUGGAGAAACCAACAAUUCCUCUUUCUGAGAUGUUCAAAUUCAAAAUAAAAGUGAGUGAUGCACAUAGGGCAUGGAUGAAAAGCCCUGAAGUGUUGCAGAAUUGCUCGACGGGUUUCAAUUUCGCUUCCCAAUCCAAAGAAACAGUUCAGGAAAAGGUGUCACCGCUAAAGUUAUUGCAUUUUUAUAGCGCGGAUGGUUGGUGGAAAAAGGGUUGAUCGAACCAUGCAAGCAAAACUGUAUUCUGAUGUCAAGAGUCUGUAAAUCUGAUGUAUAGCAAGUGGCACAGUUCUCAUUAAAACCUCAAAUAGUAGCUGGGAUAGAAAUAAGGUGCCUUGUGGGGCGUUUUGCCUGUGGAUAGCUUCCCUACUUUUGAAUGUGUAUACCUGAUGUCUAACUGGGAUGGAUAGGUCAAUGUACACUUGUAGGAUUUGUCUGCGUUGUACUAGAUUGGUUGCUAAUGUUGGAUUGGUUCUAAAACAUUUUAUUAUAUCAUUGAAUCUGGUGUAUUCUCUAUGGAGUUUGAAGAAGGCGAAUGGAUGGAAAUGAAGAAGGUGGUUAGCAAUCCUUUUUUCUUUUUAAAUGUUCUAUUGAAGUACAGAAGCAAGAGGAAAUCUUUUGAGUUGUUUGUUAUGUAGGAAAGAAAUGGAAUUGGUCUUUUAUAGUUCUACCUUGCAAUAAAAAUUUCAAUUCAAUUCA